AGUUCUGUUAUGCUUAGUUACCUAGAUUUAUUAUAAGUCAAUUAUGCAGCUAAAUGAUAACAUAUGUUGGUACAUUGUUAAUUAUGUUGAUUGUUUACUCUUUGUUAAAAAUCAAUUAAAGUUUGGUAAUUUCACAAGUUAGAGGCAAGUUAUUUAUGACUUAACAAUGUCAGAUUGAAACCUGAAUCUGUUUAAAUAGACACAAGGCUGGUGUUUUACUUUAUCUCUUUAGAAACUUCUCCUAUCUUUGUGCUUUGUUUUUAUUAGUAUUUAUUCCGAAUCGUAUUAGAUACAGAUAAAAAGAGCCAGA
rnacentral:misc_RNA from 1 species